GCCCGCCGAACGCCUGCCCUGGCUCCCUGAAGGCACCGCAGAGCUGCCCGCGCCUUCCUCUGAGGGAAACAGCGCGGGGAUCUGCUGGCCGCAAGGAGGGGGCAGGUGCCUGUGGGGUGACCCAGCUCGGGGAAUGUCUGUGGAGCAUCCCUGGGGAUCUUCUAAAUCCGUUGGACAGUGAGCAGCCGGCUGUGGGUAGCUUUGCUUGAGCAUGGAGGGCUGGAGAAGUUGACCUCCAGAGAGGCCGGCUUCCCAACAGCACAAACUCAGAGCAGCCCAGCUGAUGACCUAGUAAGAGCCAUGUGCAAGGUAGCACACCUAACUUUUAAAGCUUUCGUAAAGAUGUGAGGCUCCAGUCCUAUGACCUUGCAUAUCCCAGUGCAUCCCAGCUUUCCAACAAAGGGCAGUUGCUGCUGUUUCCUCUUUACAGCACAGUGCAUUUUCAGUCCAGAAUCCUCAGAAGAAACCGCUCCCACUGCCUGCUAGCAGUCUUCUCCUGAAGAAUCAUGACCACUGCUUCAAGCUGAUAAUACAUUAUUCAGUCCAUCAGCACAUGGUGCCCAACUCUACUGCUCAAGUAAUCUUUUCCUCACUACAUAAACUAUAUCACCGUCCACUCUUAACUUGCCUUCACUGGCUUCCUUCCUGUCUCUUAACUCCUCACUUCAAGCUCUUCAUCCUCCAUUUAAAGACCAAACAUCAUCUCCCCCCCUCCAUUCCUGACCCUACUUCCCUUUCCUCCCAGUAGGGCUGCCACAGCUUGCUUUGUUCCAGCUGUCUCUCUCCUUUUGUUUCCCAGCUGCUUUCUCCUGCAUCCCUUUAGCUUCUCUUUGCACCACUUAAAUCCCUUUCCUAGGUGGCUUUUCAGAUAUACUUCACACUUUUUCUUUCUUUUCUCACACUGACUUCUUGCUGGUUUAUUUUUCUUCUUCUUCACUUUGGUAUUAACAUCAGAGAUGAGUUGGAUCUGUGGUGAUUAGCCAUGAAAGAAAAAGUGAGUAGAACUUUGAUUCUUGCAAAACUAAUUGAAACAUCUGAAAAUUAACACUCAGAGGAAAAAAAAAACCAAACUGGUGAGAAGCUAAUUAAGGGAAAGAAUGAUGUUCAGUGGCCUUAAAAUAUGUAGAAAAAAGCACUGAAUGAGAAGCUAUAGAGAAUAAUUUUGCUUCUGGUCAAGGGACAGUAAGCCACACAUUAAACAUAUUCCUUGAAUUAGGAGCAGUUUCAAGUCUCUAAUUCUUCUUAGCCCUUGCAGGGAGGCCCACAGUGGAAGAAAGGUGUGCUCUUAUCACACCAGACAGCCAGGUCUAUAAUAGUUCCUCCUGCCACUCUCUUAGUCAUUUACCACCCUACAAGCCUCGGGGAAGUCCAGUCACAGCUUCUUUCCCACCCAGUGAUGGGCUACACCUCUUGCUGCUAUUCAUGCAGUUGGGAAAAAUUUGUCUGCUUCCCCAAGCAAUAAAUUGUCUUUCUUGUGUCUUCUAGAUCAGUCUUGCUCAGCACAGCUUGCAGCCCCAGGGUUCACAGCCUGGCUUUUAGCUUAACAAGAACCUGGGCAUUAAAUUAAUAAUUUGAUUUUUUUUCUUGUGGGAGUGGAAGGAGCAAAAAAUACAAGCUAAUCUAUUUAGGGCAAAGGCUUAAAAUUAUUUAAUUUGUAUUUUAAUUGAUGUUUUUGUCACCAGUAUCCUGCAAAAGGGAUACUGUGUUUGCUUUGGCAUUUUCAGACCCCCUGUAAUAUUGCUCACAAUUUACACUUCUGAGGGGCUUCUUACAUUUAUGGCUUCACGGAUACCUGGUUCUGGCCAUAUAGUGCAAAACACAUAUUUUGAAGCCUUCUAUAGGAAAAGCAGAAGGUAUCCACAAUUUAGGAUUGAUUAACUUCCUUAGCAAGGAAGACUAGGGGAGAUGCAUUCUGCAUAUAAGGGUAGCACUGGUCCAUUUCCAUCCUCCCUGUUGGUUAAACUGGAAAAGACUUUUUUUUUAUUAUUAUUUUCAGAACAGAUUAUGCUCAUAGGUCAUUUACACAAAUUCAUAGAAUCAUAGAAUCACAGAAUGGUUUGUGUUGGAAAGGACCUUAAAGGUCAUCCAGCUCCAACCCCCUGUCAUGGGCAGGGACGCCAUCCAAUACAGCAGGUUGCUCAAAGCCCUGUCCACCCUGGCCUUGAACACUGCCAGAGGUGGGGCAGCCACAGCUUCUCUGGACAACCUGUGCCAGUGCCUCACCACCGUCAUAGUGAAGAAUUUUUUCCUAAUACCUAAUCUAAAUAUCUGUACAAAAUCUGAGGAC